GUAGGAGGAGGGCUUUCCGUUCCAGGUGGUGGGGAGGAAAGGCUCAACACACCCAAAGCCGCCUAGUUGUUUUGAAGGGAUAUCACCCCCCCGGGAAAUGAACCCGGUCCAAACUUCUGCGGGGAGCAACAGGGGGGAAUUUUGCCAAAUGGGGGAACCCCUGAUCCACAACCCCGCGUGGAGGAUGACGCAUUUCGGGUGGUAAACUCCUUUUAAUUCCCAAGAUAAUGACGGUAGGAUAUGAAUAAGCCCCGGCUAACUCCGUGCCAGCAGCCGCGGUAAUACGGAGGGUGCAGGCGUUACUCGGAAUCACUGGGCGUAAAGCGCGCGCAGGCGGCCAUUUAAGUUGGAUGUGAAAGCCUACGGCUCAACCGUAGAACUGCAUCCAAAACUAUUUGGCUAGAGUGUGGGAGAGGAAGAUGGAAUUAGUUGUGUAGGGGUAAAAUCCGUAGAGAUAACUAGGAAUACCAAAAGCGAAGGCAAUCUUCUGGAACACUACUGACGCUGAGGCGCGAAAGCGUGGGGAGCAAACAGGAUUAGAUACCCUGGUAGUCCACGCAGUAAACGAUGAAUGUUAGUCGUCGGGUAGCUAGUCUAUUCGGUGAUGCAGCUAACGCAUUAAACAUUCCGCCUGGGGAGUACGGUCGCAAGAUUAAAACUCAAAGGAAUAGACGGGGACCCGCACAAGUGGUGGAGCAUGUGGUUUAAUUCGAAGAUACGCGAAGAACCUUACCUGGCCUUGACAUAUUUUAGAAUUCUUUAGAGAUAGAGAAGUGCCUUCGGGAGCUAAUAUACAGGUGCUGCACGGCUGUCGUCAGCUCGUGUCGUGAGAUGUUGGGUUAAGUCCCGCAACGAGCGCAACCCUCGUCACUAGUUACUAACGGUUCGGCCGAGGACUCUAGUGAGACUGCCUUCGCAAGGAGGAGGAAGGUGAGGACGACGUCAAGUCAUCAUGGCCCUUACGGCCAGGGCAACACACGUGCUACAAUGGUUAGGACAAUGAGACGCGAUACCGCGAGGUGGAGCAAAUCUAUAAACCUAAUCUCAGUUCGGAUUGUUCUCUGCAACUCGAGAGCAUGAAGCUGGAAUCACUAGUAAUCGUAGAUCAGCUAUGCUACGGUGAAUACGUUCCCGGGUCUUGUACUCACCGCCCGUCACACCAUGGGAGUUGAUUUCACCCGAAGCGGGGAAGCUAAACUGGCUACCCUCCACGGUGGAAUUAGCGACUGGGGUGAAGUCGUAACAAGGUACC
rnacentral:rRNA from 1 species